GAAAAACUAGGGUUCUUCUCAUUUUUCCAUUUUUCAAAGAAGCUAAGUUUCGAUUUUUGGUUGCAAAAAAUGGAGAUGGUUUCCAUUCUGCGCGACUGAAGUUUGGUUGUGUGUUCAUCGCAAAAUUGAAUCAAGGUGUCGAUUCGAGUUUCUGGGGUUCCUUUGCGGUCGAAUUAUGGUUUUGAACGUUGAUUGAUUGCGGAUGAAUUCUCUUCGAUGUAAAUGUGUUCUGUUCUGUCGUUAUGUUAGAAGUAUAUUUUAACUUCGAAUUUGUUUGUCUCCUACUACUAAAGAAUUGAUUACAAGGCUUCAAGAAAUCGAAACAGCUGAUAUAAUUCUUUGUAUAGUUCCCUGAAUCGAAUAGCCUGUUUGUGAAGCUUUGAAAGGAUUGAGCUAAUUGAGUAUUCUGUGAUUUUCUUGGAAUCAUGUUUCGUUUAUGUCAACUGUGUGUUCAUCAAAUUCUUCAGGUGAAAUCUCUUAGACGGUAAACGAGCGUGAACUAUUUGGAUCUCUGCUUGUUUUAAUUAGUGUGAUAGAUUAAUAUCGAAGUAUUGGACCUAAUCUUGAUGGAAUUGUAUUCCAUACGUUGUUCUUGUUGGUGUUUUUCUUGAUGCAAAGUUCAUUAGGUUCAGUUAUCUUGAGGCAAGCGUGAUAUUUACUGGCAUGCUCUUUUCACUCUCGGCACUAAAAUUAUCACUUAAUUGACCUUAUGUCCUGAGAAGUUUAGGCUAAGUUGUGAAAAAUUUCCUCGCUGCAAACUUCCUUCAAAUGUAAUUGAAAGAACAACAGUUUUUUUUUUGAAUUCUCAAAGUUAUUUGGCGUAGUAGUUUAUGAGUGAGUCAACUGGUGUUCCCUGUUUUGAAUAACACUGUCCAUGCCUUCCAGUGAUCCAUAUAACACGUGACUCAUUGCUCUAUCAAAUUGACGGAUCUAUACCUUUUCACAUAUGUUGGACGAGAACUUCUAUUGUUUCCAUGAUUAGACAUAACUAGUUGGCUUGGAUUUGUGAGUUGUUUUCCCAUAUAGUUAGUUUGAUCAUGAGUUAGUAAAUCAAGUAGGGUGCAUUUUUGGAAAGGGUGUGGUAUCCAUGUUAGUUAUUAUUUUUAGAUCAUCUCAAGUGUCCUGUCCUCACUUUGUUUAUUGGCACUUUUGCAUUAUGAUUUACUGGGAUGUUUCAUGGAUUUGAAGCUGAAUGUGAUUUUUUCUUAAAUUAAAUGUUUUGUUGUGUUCAAGAUUUGAAAAAUAUAUAAAUGCUUCUCUGUUGUUAGAAGGGUUGUCCUUUGAUGUUUAACCCAGGCUUCGUCUCUUUUUAUUUGUUUACUGCCAUUUACUUGUUCCUUCAUUCCAAUUGUUUGAUGUUUGACCCUUUAUUUGACUUUAUCUUUAUGAAUUAGAAGUACUGUACAUGGUCGUCGGGUUUGGGAAUUUGAGAUUAAAAGGGUAGUUUGCAUCCUUUAUAUUUCUUAUCUCAUUUUAUUCUCUUACUCCUACUCUAGUCGCUAGAAGUAUGUUAGGCCGACCAUACUUGGGUAGGCAAGCUUUAGGAUUUUAUUAGUUUCGAGGCGAGAGGUCAUUUCCUUAUUUAAAUUUACCCGGGGAAUGCCCCGAGAGAUUUGUAUAUAUUUCAUUCCGGGGAAUGCCUCGUAGAACUUUGUAAUGAGAAGUCAAAAGUAGAACUUGUAGUAUUUUA